rnacentral:rRNA from 1 species
CACGUAGGGUGCGAGCGUUGUCCGGAAUUAUUGGGCGUAAAGAGCUCGUAGGCGGUCUGUUACGUCUGCUGUGAAAACUCGGGGCUUAACCCCGGGCCUGCAGUGGGUACGGGCAGACUAGAGUGCGGUAGGGGAGACUGGAAUUCCUGGUGUAGCGGUGAAAUGCGCAGAUAUCAGGAGGAACACCGGUGGCGAAGGCGGGUCUCUGGGCCGUAACUGACGCUGAGGAGCGAAAGCAUGGGGAGCGAACAGG